rnacentral:rRNA from 1 species
AUAUUGGACAAUGCGCGAAAGCCUGAUCCAGCCAUGCCGCGUGUGUGGAGAAGGUCUUCGGUUUGUAAAGCACUCUAAGUUGGGAGGAAGGGUUCUAGAUUAAUACUCUGCAAUUUUGACGUUACCGACAGAAUAAGCACCGGCUAACUUUGUGCCAGCAGCCGCGGUAAUACGAAGGGUGCAAGGGUUAAUCGGAAUUAGUGGGCGUAAAGCGCGCGUAGGUGGUUCGUUAAGUUGGAUGUGAAAGCCCCGGGCUCAACCUGGGAACUGCAUCAAAAACUGGCGAGCUAGAGUACGGUAGAGGGUGGUGGAAUUUCCUGUGUAGCGGUGAAAUGCGUAGAUAUAGGAAGGAACACCAGUGGCGAAGGCGACCACCUGGACUGAUACUGACACUGAGGUGCGAAAGCGUGGGGAGCAAACAGG